rnacentral:rRNA from 1 species
AGUGAACGCUGGCGGCAGGCCUAAUACAUGCAAGUCGAACGGCAGCACAGUGGAGCUUGCUCCAUGGGUGGCGAGUGGCGGACGGGUGAGGAAUACAUGGGAAUCUGCCCAGUCGUGGGGAUAACGUAUGGAAACGUACGCUAAUACCGCAUGCGCCCUUCGGGGGAAAGUCGGGGACCGCAAGGCCUGACGCGAUUGGAUGAGCCCAUGUUCGAUUAGCUAGUUGGCGGGUAACGGCCCACCAAGGCGACGAUCGAUAGCUGGUCUGAGAGGAUGAUCAGCCACACUGGAACUGAGACACGGUCCAGACUCCUACGGGAGGCAGCAGUAGGGAAUAUUGGACAAUGGGCGCAAGCCUGAUCCAGCCAUGCCGCGUGAGUGAAGAAGG